rnacentral:rRNA from 1 species
ACUCCUAUCGGAGGUACACUAGGGAAUCUUCCACAAUGGACGAAAGUCUGACGGAGCAACGCCGCGUGAGUGAAGAAGGUUUUCGGAUCGUAAAACUCCGUUGUAAGGGAAGAACACGUACGAGAGUAACUGCUCGUACCUUGACGGUACCUUAUUAGAAAGCCACGGCUAACUACGUGCCAGCAGCCGCGGUAAUACGUAGGUGGCAAGCGUUGUCCGGAAUUAUUGGGCGUAAAGCGCGCGCAGGCGGUUCUUUAAGUCCGAUGUGAAAGCCCACGGCUCAACCGUGGAGGGUCAUUGGAAACUGGGGAACUUGAGUACAGAAGAGGAAAGCGGAAUUCCACGUGUAG